UACGUAGGAGGCAAGCGUUGUCCGGAAUUACUGGGCGUAAAGCGCGUGUAGGUGGUGGGACAAGUCUGCUGUGAAAGCGCCUGGCUUAACCGGGCGAGGUCGGCGGAAACUGUCCGACUAGAGGACGGUAGAGGGGGGUGGAAUUCCCGGUGUAGAGGUGAAAUUCGUAGAUAUCGGGAGGAACACCUGUGGCGAAGGCGGCCAUCUGGACGACAAUUGACGCUGAGACGCGAAAGCGUGGGUAGCAAACAGG
rnacentral:rRNA from 1 species